UAGUUGGUGGGGUAAAGGCUCACCAAGCCAACGAUCUGUAGCUGGUCUGAGAGGACGACCAGCCACACUGGAACUGAGACACGGUCCAGACUCCUACGGGAGGCAGCAGUGGGGAAUUUUGGACAAUGGACGCAAGUCUGAUCCAGCAAUUCCGCGUGCGGGAUGAAGGCCUUCGGGCUGUAAACCGCUUUCAGCAGGAACGAAAAUGACGGUACCUGCAGAAGAAGGAGCGGCCAACUACGUGCCAGCAGCCGCGGUGACACGUAGGCUCCAAGCGUUGUCCGGAUUUAUUGGGCGUAAAGAGCUCGUAGGCGGUUGAGUAAGUCGGGUGUGAAAACUCUGGGCUUAACCCGGAGACGCCAUCCGAUACUGCUCUGACUAGAGUUCAGGAGGGGAGUGGGGAAUUCCUAGUGUAGCGGUGAAAUGCGCAGAUAUUAGGAGGAACACCGGUGGCGAAGGCGCCACUCUGGACUGAAACUGACGCUGAGGAGCGAAAGCAUGGGUAGCAAACAGGAUUAGAUACCCUGGUAGUCCAUGCCGUAAACGGUGGGCACUAGGUGUGGGUUCCAACUAACGGGAUCCGCGCCGUCGCUAACGCAUUAAGUGCCCCGCCUGGGGAGUACGGUCGCAAGACUAAAACUCAAAGGAAUUGACGGGGGCCCGCACAAGCAGCGGAGCGUGUUGCUUAAUUCGAUGCUACGCGAAGAACCUUACCUGGGUUUGACAUGUUUGG
rnacentral:rRNA from 1 species